GUUGAACGCUGGCGGCAGGCCUAACACACGCAAGUCGAGCGGAUGAAGAGAGCUUGCUCUCUGAUUUAGCGGCGGACGGGUGAGUAAUGCCUAGGAAUCUGCCUGGUAGUGGGGGAUAACGUUCCGAAAGGAACGCUAAUACCGCAUACGUCCUACGGGAGAAAGCAGGGGACCUUCGGGCCUUGCGCUAUCAGAUGAGCCUAGGUCGGAUUAGCUAGUUGGUGAGGUAAUGGCUCACCAAGGCUACGAUCCGUAACUGGUCUGAGAGGAUGAUCAGUCACACUGGAACUGAGACACGGUCCAGACUCCUACGGGAGGCAGCAGUGGGGAAUAUUGGACAAUGGGCGAAAGCCUGAUCCAGCCAUGCCGCGUGUGUGAAGAAGGUCUUCGGAUUGUAAAGCACUUUAAGUUGGGAGGAAGGGCGGUAAGUUAAUACCUUGCUGUUUUGACGUUACCGACAGAAUAAGCACCGGCUAACUUCGUGCCAGCCGCCGCAGUAACAC
rnacentral:rRNA from 1 species